rnacentral:rRNA from 1 species
ACUCAAAUGAAUUGACGGGGACCUGCACAACCAGUGGAUUAUGUGGUUUAAUUCGAGACGAACCGAAGGACCUUACCCAGGUUUGACAUGCUACCGUUUUAGUCAACCAGAAACGGAUGAUGAUCUAUUUAUUUAGAUGGUAGCACAGGUGUUGCAUGGCUGUCGUCAGCUCGUGCCGUGGGGUGUUCCCUUCAGUGGGGUAACGAGCGCAACCCCUGCCGUAUGUUGAAUUGUUCAUACGGGACAACCCCGAUUUAAUCGGGGAGGAAGCGGGGACGACGUCAAGUCCGCAUGGCCCUUAUGUCUGGGGCGACACACAUAAUACAAUGGAGCCGACAAUGGGUUGCCAACGCGUGAGCGGGAGCUAAUCCCAUCAAACGGCUUCUCAGUGGGGAUUGAGGGCUGCAACUCGCCCUCAUGAACGCGGAAUUGGUAGUAAUCGCAGAUCAGCUAAGCUGCGGUGAAUACGUUCUCGGGUCUUGUACACACCGCCCGU